rnacentral:rRNA from 1 species
UACAGAGGUGGCAAGCGUUGUUCGGAAUUACUGGGCGUAAAGGGCGCGUAGGCGGCGUGACAAGUCACUUGUGAAAUCUCUGAGCUUAACUCAGAACGGCCAAGUGAAACUGUUGUGCUAGAGUGCAGAAGGGGCAAUCGGAAUUCUUGGUGUAGCGGUGAAAUGCGUAGAUAUCAAGAGGAACACCUGAGGUGAAGACGGGUUGCUGGGCUGACACUGACGCUGAGGCGCGAAAGCCAGGGGAGCAAACGGG